UAGUCCGUACGAGCGCACCCUUGUCCCUAGUUGCCAGCACUUCGGGUGGGAACUCUAGGGAGACUGCCGGUGAUAAACCGGAGGAAGGUGGGGAUGACGUCAAGUCAUCAUGGCCCUUAUGGGGAGGGCUACACACGUGCUACAAUGGCCGGCACAGAGGGCUGCAAAGCCGCGAGGUGGAGCGAAUCUCAGAAAACCGGUCGUAGUCCGGAUUGCAGUCUGCAACUCGACUGCAUGAAGCCGGAAUCGCUAGUAAUCGCGGAUCAGAACGCCGCGGUGAAUACGUUCCCGGGCCUUGUACACACCGCCCGUCACACCAUGGGAGUGGGCUGUACCAGAAGUAGGUAGUCUAACCUUCGGGAGGACGCUUACCACGGUGUGGUACAUGACUGGGGUGAAGUCGUAACAAGGUAGCCCUAGGGGAACCUGGGGCUGGAUCACCUCCUUU
rnacentral:rRNA from 1 species